ACACGUAUGAAGGACAAGCUGAAAGACUUUUCCCAAUGAUGUAAGUGGUGGUGCAUGGUCGUUCUUAGUUCGUGGAUUGAUUUGUCUGGUCUAUUCCGAUAACGAGCGAGACCCCUACGUUCCUAAUAGGGGCAGCAGCCCGGCUUGUGCCGCAAGGCACCUGCUAGCAGCUGCCUAAGACUAGCUUCUUAGACGUAUCAGAGCCGAUAAGGUUCUUGAAAUGGGUUAAUAACAGGUCAGUCAUGCCCUUAGAUGUUCUGGGCCGCACGCGCGUUACAAUGGUAGACAUUAGAACGUGCUCUCAAGGGCGUCUCCGCGGCCUGCCGGUCGCGGUAACCCCUAGUCUCUCCCUUGACUGGGCCAGACUAUUGCAAUUAUUGGUCUCUAACGAAGGAAUUUUUAGUAGUCGCAGGUCAUUAACCUGCGACGA
rnacentral:rRNA from 1 species